rnacentral:lncRNA from 1 species
CUUGCCUUUAUUUCCAUGAAUCAUACUGUCUCACUUUUGAAAAACAUUUUACAAAAAAACUCAAUCCUCACACCUCUGUGAAAUGGGUAUAAUUAUUCCUGUUUUAUAGUUGAGAAAACUGAGCAUGACAAAUAUUUAAGUGGCUUUCCCAAAAUCACCCUGCUAGUAAAUGUAUGAAACAGAAUUUAAACUCUGUCUUCCUCUUUCCAGGUUUAUCUCUGUACCUACUGUUGACACAAUCUGCCUCCAUUAGAAUAAUUACACCAUCUUCUUUAUAGAAGAUCUGCUGCCCUAUAGACAAAGACAGCCAAGAGAAUUAUCACAGUGACAAUGACGACCUCAGAUGUAAAGUGCACUGCCCAAUUUUACUGGAUACAUCUCUACAGCCAGUGGAGUAGAUUGGCUUCUGUGAACUACCUGUGGACUACCUGUAUUUGUGUUAUAUCAUGAUAACCCAAGACAUCCCUAAUUGGUGGACACCUAAGAGGACUUUAGCUGAUAUUUUCUAGUUGAUUUCUGAUCCUGUCCUGAUGGUGAGGGGAAGUCAUAUGCCUGAUAACAAGAUUCCAAUAUUCUCACUGAUAAAUAUGGAAAAAUCAAGUUAAGUCUGGUUAUGUUUGAUUUUCAUCAUUCAUCCUAAUGGAAGAAAUCAAGGACAUUCCUUUAAAGUGUGAAUCGCUAACUAGUCAGGAAAACUGAAGUGCAGGUCCAAUAAGAUACAAAAACCACAAAAACAUCACAGAGAACAAAAACUUCAAAGUGAGCUGAAGGCUAAGGAAGGAAUAGGCAUGAUGUGUGGAGCAGAUAUUUUAAUGUUAUCAGAUGAGAGUGAAAAAGUCUAAGUAUUUAAGUCUUAUUUACUUCAAUCUUCUCUAUCAAAAAGAAUUAUCUUUCAAAAAUGGAAAGGGUAGAACAAACAUGAUUAAAAGGAAAUCGAAGCCAGUGAAAGAUGAAGAGAUAACAAGACAAUAUCAAGCUACAAGUUUAAAUGUGAUCCAGCAUUCUUACCUGAACAAAUUUCAUCUUAAGGUCAAUACUCAGGGAUGUAUUAUGACUAAGAAUACUGGAAAACUAUGAAGAAACAAAAUUAUGAAUGAUCUCAAGGGUAAUGGAGAAAGAAGACAUGGUGAUUGUAUGUAAGCUGUCACCAUGGAUCUGCUGAAGCCAGUUCUAAUGAGAAAACCAAUAUUUAAAUAACUAUGAGAGGAUUUACACCUCAGAAAUUAACCAAUGUAGCAAAUCAGGUCUUGAUUUAUUGAUUUGUUGCUCAUUGCCUAAAUUUAAAGUGAUAAUAAAGCAGAUUAAACUUUAAAAUAUGCUCUGUGC